rnacentral:rRNA from 1 species
UACGUAGGUGGCAAGCGUUGUCCGGAUUUAUUGGGUUUAAAGGGUGCGUAGGCGGCUUAUUAAGUCAGUGGUGAAAUACUCUAGCUCAACUAGAGGGGUGCCAUUGAUACUGAUGAGCUUGAGUACAGAUGAGGUAGGCGGAAUUGACGGUGUAGCGGUGAAAUGCUUAGAUAUCGUCAAGAACACCUAUAGCGAAGGCAGCUUACUAGGCUGUAACUGACGCUGAGGCACGAAACGUGUGGGGCAUCAAACAGG